CCUCUCGCGACCACGCCGUCGGGGCAGUUUUGGCCACUGCCCCACACCUCGCCCCACCUCUUCCCCAGAUCCUUCCCGCCAGCCAUCGCCCUCGACCUGUGCCUCCGUCUGCACGUGCCGCCGGACCGCCGCGCCCACGCUCUAGGCGCUCGGGCCACCCCAUCCACGCACCGCCCGGGCGGCCACGCCCACUCGCCGCACACAGGCGCCGAACCUCCAUGCUGCAUGUGCUUUACCCUCAGAUUCUUCCUGGUUGCAGUGAUAAUUUUUGGUUUAAUUGUACGCAUGUUCAAUACCACUUCCUGGUGCUAGAUGUAUUGGAGACGGCAGGCAGCGGCAGCAGGAGGAAGAGGACUGGGGCGACGGGCUCAGAUGUGCACUUCUCUGAAAGUCCAGGCAGCCGGCAGUCGGCAGCCAAGACCCAAGACGAUGGGCGAGGUGCUUCAUCUCCUGCCCCGCGCACUCAAACACACGAAUGAGUUGAUGCUGCCUCAUCCCACGUUGGUGCAGUCUACUCUUUGGUUGGUAUCGAGCUACAGUUCCGAUGACUUGCAGCUCAGGUCGGGAAAAGGCGCGGGUAGUGCACACACUAUCGUUUGUUGCUGGGAUCAACACGCUGCUGUAGUGAAUUUAUGGCUUCUAUCUCGCAUGGAUGCCUAGGUGGCUGUUGCUGUCGCCUUCAUGCCCAUGAGAGCUGGUUUGUCACCGAGGUCGCCAGGCAGGAGUGUCCUUUUCUGCUUCGAGCUGCUUUGACCGGUGGCACACUUCAGGGACCAUGCUCUCACCAUGGACAACACAGUCGUGGGACUCGUGGUCGCUGGCGGAAAGGUGGAGCAAGAGGUCUCUGAAGCUGCAGCAGAACGAGUCUGUAGAGACGACGUUGAAUUUUAUCAAGGUUUUUUCAUUUGUUUUGAACCAUCCAGGAGAGACAAGGUUGCUUCAUUUGCAAGCUCAAAACUCUUUAUGAUUGUAUUCUACUUCUCUACCCAGUUCAUUGAACCUAUGCAAUUGGUUGUCGGUGUUUGAUCCCAUUAGUAGUAUGAUCAAUUUUGUUUCGAGACAUGCAGUCCCCAAAUCAAACACUCCCCACGAUCCGAUGAAUGGGAGAGGGAAGCUGAGGCAAUGGCUGUGCCACUGUAGACAAACAGUUUAACACUGAGACAAAGCUCUGUAUCGAGGGAUGAAGCGUUUGGAGCCCGGAUGAAGAGUGCUUCCGAGGUGGAGAAAGAGGACAACUAUUGAGAAUGCUUCCAAAUCGCUCAGAAUUUUUGUUUUAGCAGACUCGGACUCCUUGUGUUCUUUUUUGAGUCGCGGACUCCUUGUUUGAUACAAUACAUUUGAAGAGCCCUUUUUGCGCACUGUUCAAAUAAGCUCUUCAUUUUUAUGAGUCUGGUCAAACAAUGCACUUCAAAUAAUGAAGUUAUUGUCUCUGGGAUAUUUGGCCAAAUGUUGUACUUAUCAUCCUAGAUAAUCCCUAUUCAUUACGUAUGUAUGUAUCACAUU